GUUCUUGGACAGGAAGCACCAAGCGGACUCCAUCUUCUGAGUGGAAAACGGAAGGCGAAGAGAGACGGGCGUUUGGCAGGAACUUGAGGAAAUAUCUCCAGGGGGUUUAGAAGGCAUGCAAAAAUCCCCCAGUUUUGACCUUCUUCCUGUCUUGAUAACCUUCUUCAAAGUGGGACAAAAGCAACAAAGAGGUCACAGAAGAGAUUCCACAGGAGAGAGAGCCAGGUCAGGAGGUUGAAUUGGAUGACCUUCGAGGCCCCGUCCAACUCCAUGGUUCCAUGAAGAUCACUGUGGGGAAAGCGAAUCCUUAAUUCAUCCGGGGGGGGCAAUUUGAUGAAUUCAUCUGAUGAAUUCGUCAUUCGUUCACUAUGAACCCCCCACCCCCACCCCCAAGCUGGAGGUUGGACUAGAAGACCUUCAAGGUCCCUUCCAGGUCUGUUAUUCUGUUGUGUUCUGCUGUUUGAGAACACUCAGAAACGCUGACGAUCUGAACAUCAAGGAUUUCAGCCAAGUGAGAAAAUUAAAGAGUCCACAGAAAUAUCCAGCAAUCUCUUUAGCAAGGAAAUCCAAAUUCCCAAAGGCAAAUUCCAGAUGUGAACAUCAGCAUUCUUGUCUCCUUUUGGCCUGCGAAACUGGAGCGCAUUUGAGCAAUUGAGCGAAAAAAGAACGAAAAUCAGUUUUUGUGCUCCAGGAAUAAAGUUCUAAUGUUGGUGGGCUCAACAUCCUUUGUAGUAUCUCACCCAGGGAUGUUGCCAACGGCGGUUUGGUUUUUGGGCAAGCCAAGCUGGUGGUUUUUUUUUUUCCUUGCAUAAUUUAAAUUUGGGAUAAUUUAAACCAUUUAAAGCUAGGUCUCUUAGCUGAUGCUAUGACCCGCGGCUGGCUGACAGGAAUUGACGGGACAAGGAGGGAAGAGAUACGAUUGGUUCCUGAAAUGCUGGGGUCCCGCCCACCUUGGACCGCAAUCCUUCCUUGAGCAGACAGAACUCAUUUAGCAACCGCUUCAGUUAGUGACUAUUCACACUUACAACGGUAAGGAAGAAGCAACUGUGCUUUGUAACCAAUCCUUGCGUUUGAGAGCUUUUGCAGGUCUGUAAAGCAAAGGAAAACUGAAGUCGGAUGGCCAGUCGGUUGCGGCUUCACUUAGUGACUGUUUCACUUAACAACCAAAUGGCUAGCCCUAAAAAUGGUCACUAAACGAGAAUUACCGUACCUAUGCCUGCGUGGUUCCCAUCUGUUGCAUUUGUUCAAAGCUUUUCGAAAAACUCCUGCUAGACUAAAAGUUUUUAACCUGGGGUCCACAAACUUGGAUGGAAAAACAGUGAUGAGUUUAUUUUCAAUUAACCUUUAAUUGAAACUUAGCUUUUCAUUCAAUAAUGUUGUCGGCCACAAUGUAAUCUAUGGCCUCUGAGCUACAACCCACUCGUUCACUUCAAUAAAUCUCCCUAUCUAAAAUUAUUUUAGCCCUAGGAAAGGCUACUGUCUUGUUAUUGAUUUAACGGAUGAAUAAGGAAGCGCAUGUAUUAUCUUACUUUUUGUUUUUGCUUUUUGAAAAAUAUUUUGAAGCCAGUGUUUGUGCAGAACCAGCCUUCUCUGUAAUACCAUCUGUAGUUAUGUACACACUCUUUGGGCACAAAAAGGGUGCAGAAGCCAGCUUUCAACAGAGAUCAUCCCGUUUUUUAAUUAAAAAAAAAACUUUGGCAAAGAAAGAAGCAGUUACGUAAAGGGUCUAUCCACAGAAUAACUAUCCAUAAAUGUAUAAUGCAGAGUUGGAAACUGAAAGAGAAUAAAAAUAGAGAGGCUUCAGACGUGCAGCCUUCUCAUAUGCACAGACAAGUAACACCUAUGCCAGCUUCUUGCUAAAACUGAGAAAGGGACCACUCACACCCAGACACACGUACAAACAAGACAUGUGACUUCUUCAUUGCAAAAGCAAGCACAAAGAUAUCAGAAUUCAUGUUAAUGUAUGCUGAUUAGUGUACAUUUAAAGAAUUCUAAUUCUUAUUCUAUUCUACUCUACUCCAUUCCAUUAUUCUGUUCUAUUCUAUUCUGUUCUGUUAUAUUCUAUAUUCUAUUCUAUUCUAUUCUAUUCUAAUUCUAACUCUAUUUUAUUGAAUCCUAGGACCCAGUAAGCUUUCUCUUCCUUGCUCAAAAUCCAUUUCCGCAGGGGCUGAAUUCACACACCUGCUAAACCCAGAUUAGUAAACACAACACUGCCUUGUGUUCAUCUCAUAGGCGAUGUCCAAAAUUUAUUACAGGUGGUCCUCACCUUUACAAUUGUGCCGGAGCUUGGAAUUUUCAUAGUUAAUUUACAAUGACGGUAAGUCAAGACACCCAUGUUGAUUUUACAAUCUUUUUUGCGGUGGCCAUUAAGCAAACACAGCGGACGUUAAGCAAGUCAAUACAUUCCUAGGGGUGGUUUUUGCUCAAAGCCAGCUGAAAAAGCCCAUUUCCAGCAAAAAAAAAAAAAUAAUUACCAUAUUAUGUGACCACAGAAUACAGCAACCAUCUGUAAAGGUGAGCUGGUUGCCAAGCUCACAAAAUGUGGAUGUGACCAUGUUUUGUGUAUGUGUGUAUGUGUGUGUGUGUGUGUGCACUGCUGUCAGCACUCUGGAUAUGGGUUGUAAGUACUUUUGGAAGGGGUCUGUCAUAACUUGAAAUGGUCACUAAGCAAGCAGUCAUUAAACAAGGACUACCUGUGUGACUUACCUGGAUUUGUUCACCUCAAUUGCUUAAAUAAGGAUCCUGUUUUGGGAACACCGGAGGUCACUAACCAUCAUAUUCUAUUUUAGCUCAGUUGUGUGUUUUGCAGACCUGAUCAUCAAGUCUCUGCAGCUAGCCACGAUGAUGGAAAAAUGAUGGCCCAGACUUGAUGAAAUCACUCUGCAAAGUCAUCCUUAUCUGUUGGCAGUUUGGUAUUGAAUGAAAUUAAAGAUUAAACACAUUUUUAAUCACGGUAAAAGAGAACGAAAAUUUUUGGGGGAAAUAAAUAUGUAUUAGCUUAGGAGGAACAUGUAUUUUAAGUAGUAUGCUACCUUUUUAUUUUCAUUUACUCUUAUUCUUUUUUAGUCUUAUUUAUUCCUUAAGAAAGGUCCAAGUAUUGGGAUGGCUUACUUGAGAAAAAUAGACUUAAAAUAUUUAAAUGUAAUUAACUUUGAGAAAAUCUUAACCAGUAAGAAUGUCUUGAACAUUGUGGGAAAAAUAAAUGUAAACAAGGACUGUAAACAGGAUCUAUGAUGAGGCAAGCCAGAAUGACUAGAUAGAAAAGAAAUAUUAUAUUGAUGCGACUAUUAUCUGUAGAAGCAUUAGAAAUUUUUUUACCCUCAAUUGUUAUCUGUCAAAACAACAAGAAUUGUAUAAACUUAAGGUGGGCAAAAGAGAACAUUAUGGGAAAAAGAGGAAAUCAAAUAAAGCUAUUAUGUGGAUAAUAGAUCAUAGAAACUAAUUGUUAAUGAAUGUUUUUUUAAAUCGAAACCCAGACAACACACUGUUUACCAAAUAUUAAGGUGACCAUGUUAAAAAAAAACAAUCAAAUAUAUUAUAUUUGUGUUAAGAGCGUCCUGACAAAUAGUUUUCUCAUUCACCUCCUGCCCUCCAGAUUCUCUUCCAGUUUCUAUUUGGAAUAUGAUGGUUUGAAUGUAAGUGGAGAGACUUAAUUUCAUUACCCUACGAUUCAAGAUUUGUAAGGAAGAGAGGUACAGUUUUGCAAGGAUAACCGUCAUUAUGAGAAGAUUACCUGUCUGGGUUGACCAUUUAUGGUGCAUCAGAUGGACAGAAAUAUUGUUCAGAGCUUGCUCUCUCCAAAUAAAGUUGGAAAAUUCUCCUGUCUUCAGCCACCCAUGUCGACAGGGCUGAUUUCAUGGCAUCAAGGAUGUGACUCAACCAAGGAAGUUCUCUUUGGUGGGUUUCCAUGAUAGCAAUCUGAGCUUUCUCCAUAGUCAGGAGUCUUGGAGAACAUUUUGAGGUUCUCCAGGACUUCACCCACGCCUCCUCUCCACAUGGGGCUUGUCUUGACCGUGAAUUGUCCCCAGAUCCAGGUCUGCAAAGAUGGUCCACUCACCUGGUGCUCAGUCCUACCCAACCCUCUUGUGGAGCUUCUGAACGUCCACCCCACCGAGACCCCCUCCAGGAUAGGAAAGCAGAAAGACGCCAGCAAGAUCACAUGUAUUAUCCAGAUAUAUUUAUAAGUUUAUCUUCUGAGAUUAGCACAGGAUAUUUAGAAAGGUUAUAAAGGAACAUUGACAUCAGUUGUAAUUCGUUUUUUUUCUCCCCACGUCCCCUGAAAGUUUAUAUACAUACAAGAACAAAGCACAACAAUUUUGAGACCGCCAACCUCACUUGUCCCCACAGCCAACCCAGAAGAUUGCAUGUGUGUGUGUGUUUGUGUAAUGCAUGUUUUCCUUUUUUAAAAUUAUUAUUUUUAAUUUUAGCUCAGUACAAAUAUGGCUUUUGGGUAAAUAUUCGGAGACUUUGACUCCAAUCAGGAAGCAUUUUUUGACCAAUUCCAGUAAGGGGGCGCCAGCUGCCAGGAGAGACAAUAAUUGCAUUUUUUUGAUGCUAGCCAGCAAGAUAUUAUAUAUAUAAUAUAUUAUGUGGCCACUUACUGUGGUAAUAUAUAUAUAUAUAUGUAUAUAUAUAUAUAUCUGUGCUGUUGCAAUUCACAUGCAUAGGAUUAUAUUAAGAUUAUGCAUAGAAGCAGGGUGUGAAAGGUGGCUGAGAUACAGCUACUGAGGAUUAUAAUUCCCACCAGCCUCCGAUAACAGGUGCAAAAUGCUGGUGCGUGAGGGGUAUUGUAGUCCAAAAUAUUGCAAUACGGCCUGCAGCAAAGUCUGGGGGUUUUGUUUCUCCCUAUCCCACCUCCACCAUUUUUCGUUGUUUCUGGAGAACUUCUAGAGACCUUCUCUUCUAGGCCUGGCGAGCAGUGGUGGAAACAGGGUGGAUGAAAUGGAAAUGAAACAGAAGCUACUUCUGGAUGAUAGGAAGAGCAGAAUAGUUUUCCUCACGUAGAGGCCAAUGUCCACCUUCUCUCCAAUUGCCAUCACCAAUGGUGACCGUUGAGGUCUGUUUUUAGAAGGGCCGAUAGCUCACAUGGAGUCCCUCCAUUCUUGAAUGGCCAGUGGAGGCCGUUUCUCUGCCGUCCAGUGUGGGGUGGAUUGGGCCCAGAGACUAAAAGGGCUAUUGGGAAGGAGGAUGGCAGGACAGCCUUCCUCACCCCACGGGUGUUUUAAGGCCUUGACCCAAAGGUGCUUUUUCAAAAGACAACUGGACUUGGUUGGACAGAGUCAAACUUUGUCAAAGUCCAGUUAACUUUUGGAAAAGCGUCUUUGGGGCAACCAUGACCUGGAUGAUGGACAAUCUCCAUCGACACCUGGAGGAAAGGGGAAAUCAGAGGCUGCAAAUUGCCAAGUCCCAACGGAAGCCAGGCACCAUCCAUGUUAGCUAUUGCCCUGGAAAAUGAGUCAACCUUGUCUGCUUCCGACCUUGUGGCCAAAAAGGGAAGCAAAUAGUCCUGCCCAACAAGAACAGUUUUUUCCCCCGUUUUGGAAUGGCAAAAUAACUUUCAAUGGUGCCUAAUGAGCUUGGAUACAAGGAGAAACCAGAGGCUGCCAAAUGGGAAAAUUGUCAAGCCCCCCUCCCCAAAGGAAGCCAGAGGCAAUCCACUUAAGCUUUUUUUCCCCCCUUGCAUCAGGGCUUAGAUGCUAAGUCAGGGGUCUUCAAACUUGGCCCUUUGAUGACUUGUGGACUUCAACUCCCAGAAUCCCUCAGCCAGCGUGCCUAAGAGUUUGGCUCCUCCAGAACGAAACGGAGCAGAAGCCACCAGGUUAGGAAAAUGGCGCUCCUUGUAUUUUAUUUUUUUUAAAAAAUAGAACGAGUGAAGGAAAAUCGAAUGCGUGUUCCCCAUUCUCGCAAAUGCAUAGGCAGUGUUUAAAAAUUUAAAAACGGGAAUUUGUUCAACCUCAGAAGCAUUUCUGUGGUUGGCAAGGUGCCAGAGGAAGGGAUGAUGGUUGUGAAAAUUAAACACCCCAACUGGAACUAGAAUUUACUUUCAUGUAAGUGUGUAAACCUGGCUCAAAACGGGCUGGCUUUGAAGCAUGAUCUUGGAAGCUUGCUGAUCAAUUUAUAUCAAUGCAUUUCAAGUUGACUUCCCAGCAUCCUUAGCAUGGACCACCAGAGUUUUUUUUUCUUUUCUAACUGACCAAGUUGGGAUGGUGGAUACCAUCCUUAUCAUCAGCCAAAUAACAACAUCCAUCAUAAAACUAGUGGGCUAAAUCAGGGGUCUCCAACCCUGGCCAUUUUGAAGACUUAUGGACUUCAACUCCCAGAAUUCCUUAGCCAGCAUUUUUAACUUGAUGACUGUGUUGCUUAGUGACAGAGUUGCUGGUCUGAGUUGCAAUUGGUAAGUGACCACCAGGGGACAGUAGGUGACCGGUUUUGUCCUAUCAUAAUCCCAUGCUGCCUCCUGGUGGUCAUUCUAAGUAAGAACACGCGCAACAAAGAGCUAGAAACUAACUUGACUGGCUGGGGGAUUCUGGGAGUUGAAGUCAAGAAGUCAUAAAGUCUGGAGACUCCUGACCUAAACUGUUGGGCUCCUGUUUGCAAACUCCAUCGUUUUCAUAAACAAUGCCGUAACAAUGAAAUAAAACAAGAAAACCAUGAGCAAAAGGUAAGUAAAUUCACCAGAAUAUUGGGGAGGGGUAGACGUAUAAAUUAAUAGAUAUAAAGUGGGUCUGGCCCCUUUGCCAAUGUGGAAUUCUGCUUCUUUUCUCACAAUUCAAAUGGGAAGUCAAUCGUCUCUAGAGAGUCAAUUGAAAAAAAACAACAACGGGAAAGUAGACCUUUGUUUUAUCAAGCUAAGCAGUUUCUUUCUUCCUACGACCGUUGGCUCCAUGUUUUUUUUUGGGCAGAGGAGUCUGUUAGCUGCAAAAGUGAAGUUUUUCCUCCCUUGGAACAUUCCCAGAUCCCAGUAAACCCACCUUUUAAAGUCUCUUUCAAAUCCUGGGUGCAGAGACUACCUCGCAAGGCAGGCAGGCAAAAUUAAAUGCAAUGGGGAAAAAAACAGGCAGGGCCAAAAACACCCCAUCCGCACAACCUGCCCAGAAACACAACAACGGGCCUGAACCAACCGAUUCUCAUGCACGAAAUCUCAGCCCAGAUUCCGCCCUUCCACGCAUCACCUUCCUAAGUUUGUUUGGCUGGACGCCUCCUCUGGUUUGCCUUCUUAAAAGAUGGCUUCAGUGGAUGUAAAGAGCAGCUUAUUCAAAUAUCAUUCGCCUUUUUUUUUUUUUUUAAAAAAAGGGGGGGAACUCACAUUUCUGACAGUGGUUAUUAGCUGAAAAAGCUGCUGAUGGGUUGGAAGCAGCGGGAGCAGUGUGCUGGCAUUUAGCAACGGAAGAUCCCCUGUUUGUGUUAAAAGUGCGGAGAAAAUAGUCUUGCAGAUAGCAUGGACAUUUGCAAAGAGAUGCAACAUUUUGUGCACCUGCUUAUCACCAUCAUAGCUCCCUGUUGGUGGUAGGUAAGAGUUUAAAAAAGGGGGGGGCUGAUAGUAUUGGAAGCAAUAUGAAGCAGGGAGGGGUCAAUUUCUGACAGAACAAUUAAUCGGUGGAACUUACUUGCCUCCAGCAGCUGUGAAUGCUCCAACACUGGAGGUUUUUAAGAAGAGACUGGACAGCCAUUUGGCUGAAAUGGUACAGGGUUUCCUGCCUGAGCAGGGGGUUGGACUAGAUGAUCUCCAAAGUCCCUUCCAACUUUAUUAUUAUAAUUAGAGGUCCUCAGGGGUCCCAAUAAAAUGCAGGGGCCUGGCCCAGCCAACCUCUGGAAUCAGAUCUCAAGGCUUGUGGACCGUCCGUUGAGGGGCUGUGACUAUCCCCAAGGAAGAAAUGAGGAGGAUGGAGGUGCAAAACACAACAGAUGCACAGUUAGCAAGCCUCUCACGGUGGUUGAGAAAUUAUUCUCGUGGAAAAAUGGAGGCCGGGGAGACAAAUGAGCUGACACACAAUUGGUUCUUGCGAGGCUGAUGUGCAGAAUGAGGGCUGUUUCACACUGGAGAAGAUGUUAACCGGAUGACAAUUUAGAGAGAGGACAACUUACAGACUUGGGGAGGGUGGUGGGACAGUUUUAUAGCCCCCUCCCCCAGUUCCCAGGGGCGAUUCGCACAGCAUAUUUGUAUCUGUCACAACUUUAAGCGACGAUUUGUCUUGAUCUCUAAGGGCAGAAGCACAGUUGUGGUGGGGUGCCGAUAGGAUAAUCAGAGCCAGACUUUUAAAAAUGCAAGGGUGUGUGUGUGUGUGUGUGUGUUCCUUUUAAAAGUGCAAAGUGUUGUUUUUUUUCCGCCCUCCUAUUUAAGUGAUGUUAAGUCACUAAGUUUGUUAUCCCUUAUCUCUGCAAGUCUCAUUUUGGGAAGACACAACAGGCUUCCCACCAUACUAUCCCCACUCUGGAUGGGCAAGCUAUUAAACCAGACUGGCAGAUUUGGCACAACCACAAUCCCCUCAAAUGACAUUUAACUCAGCUGACAAUUAACUAGGUUUGGCACAAUGGGCACGUUAGAUGUUAGUUCACUGACCGGCUGGUUAGAAGACAGCUGAGUUUUAAAAAUUUUGUUUUUUUUUAAUGAGAGGGAUUCUGCUCUUUCUUAGAACUGUGUUUUGCUUCCAAUCUUUUGCUGAUGCACUGUUAAA